ensembl:lncRNA
GUAUACAUGUCGUGGUGAGGUAGUUGGUAUCACCAGACUACAUCCAAACCAGAAGUCAUGGUUAUACAACGAGUUCCAUGUGCUUCAUGCUCCACAAUGAGGCCCUUUAAUCAGCUGACAAGGCUGCUCUGAACAACUUCACUGCGAAUAAAUUCUGGACGACUUUGCCAGAGGCCACCGUUACUGAGAAAGAAUGGGUCACAGCCUCUUGAUUGUUUCCUCAAACUUCCAGGAUUAGAUUCGUGAUUUCUUCAUUUAUUCAUCAUCAGGAAGCACUUCAUCCUGGUCAGCACUGUGGUGGAUCCGGAGACUGUCCUGGGAACAGUGAGCAGGAAUACCCUCUGGAUGGGACACUAGUCCGUUGCUGGGCAACAUGCACACAUACAUUCACGCUUAGAGGCAAUUUAGCAUAGUAGCCAAAGCCUCCUCGGCGCGGCCAGCGUGGAUCGAUGUUCAUUGAUCGUCCCUGACGAGCUGCUCCACUUUCCAGCCAAUGUCCGCCCGCCUGCCGCUGGGGAAGGAGCCCGAAACGGAGGGGAAAAUUUUCUGC